GAGGGGGCUGAGGCGGCUGCGGACUCGGGGGCGCCCCCCUCCCGGCCGGGGGGAGCGGCGCGCGCAGCAGCAGAGCAGUGACCUAAGACUUUUUGGAGGGCAGCACGCCUAGAGAUACACGCCGCCCUCCAUCACGCACACUCCUCCAGCACCAUGUCAGGAAACUACACCCCCUCUUCUGGGGGCCCCUUCUCGGCUCUCACCCCCAGCAUCUGGCCACAGGAGAUCCUGGCAAAGUAUACCCAGAAAGAAGAGUUGGUGGAGCAGCCGGAAUUCCGGUAUGAUGAAUUUGGCUUCCGAGUGGAUAAGGAAGAUGGCGCUGAGCCGAACUCCAGCAAGCUGCUUGGGAUUCCACUGACGGAGGAGCCACAGCAGAGGCUGAAGUGGCAGGCCCACCUGGAAUUCACGCACAACCACGAUGUGGGGGACCUCACCUGGGACAAAAUCGAAGUCACACUGCCAGGUUCGGACAAGCUGCGCUCACUGGUGCUGGCUGGCAUCCCACACAGCAUGAGGCCUCAGCUGUGGAUGCGUCUCUCUGGGGCCUUGCAGAAGAAGAGGAAUUCAGAGAUGUCCUAUCGAGAUAUUGUGAAAAACAGCUCCAAUGACGAAACUGUCUCUGCCAAACAGAUCGAGAAGGACCUGCUCCGCACCAUGCCCAGCAACGCCUGCUUUUCCAACAUGAACAGCAUCGGGGUGCCACGACUGCGCAGGAUACUCCGGGGACUAGCCUGGCUUUACCCAGAGAUCGGAUACUGCCAAGGCACCGGCAUGGUGGCGGCUUCCCUGUUGCUCUUCUUGGAGGAGGAAGACGCCUUCUGGAUGAUGUGUGCCAUCAUCGAGGACCUGGUACCUGCCUCCUACUUCAGCACCACGCUGAUGGGAGUGCAGACCGACCAGCGCGUCCUACGCCACCUCAUCGUGCAGUACCUGCCACGGUUGGACAAGCUCCUGCAAGAGCAUGACAUUGAGCUGUCCCUGAUCACCCUGCACUGGUUCCUCACGUGCUUCGCUAGCGUUGUGCAUAUCAAACUGCUGCUGCGCAUAUGGGACUUCUUCUUCUACCAGGGUUCGCUGGUGCUCUUCCAGGUCACACUGGGCAUGCUCAGUAUGAAGGAAGAUGAGCUAAUCCAGUCGGAGAAUUCUGCCUCCAUCUUCAACACUCUCUCGGACAUCCCGUCUCAGAUCGAGGAUGCGGAGGUGCUGCUGCGGGAGGCCAUGCGCGUCGCUGGCUCACUGACAGACAUGGCAGUGGAGACCCAGCGCCGCAAGCACCUGGCUUACCUCAUUGCUGACCAAGGGCAACUGCUCAACCCCAGCGCUGCUGUCAAUAAUCUAUCCAAGAUUGUGCGGCGCAGGACCCAGCGCAGGAAAUCUGGCAUCACCUCAUUGCUUUUCGGUGAGGAUGAUUUAGAGGCACUGAAGGCCAAGAACAUCAAGCAGACAGAGCUGGUGGCUGAUCUUCGUGAGGCGAUCCUGCAGGUGGCACGGCACUUCCAGUGCGUGGAUCCAAAGAACUGCAGCAUUGACCUGACUCCGGAUUACACCAUGGAGAGCCACCAGCGGGACCAUGAAAACUAUGUGGCAUGUUCCCAGAACCGCCGGCGCCGAGCCAAGGCACUGCUGGAUUUCGAGCGCCAUGACGACGAUGAGCUGGGCUUCCGCAAGAACGACAUCAUCACAAUCAUAUCCCAAAAGGAUGAGCACUGUUGGGUGGGGGAGCUGAAUGGACUGAGAGGUUGGUUUCCUGCAAAAUUUGUGGAGGUCUUGGAUGAACGGAGUAAAGAGUACUCUGUUGCUGGUGACGACUCGGUCACAGAGGGGGUGACAGACUUGGUCCGAGGGACGCUCUGUCCAGCACUGAAGUCUAUAUUUGAGCAUGGGUUAAAGAAGCCGUCCCUGCUGGGGGGGCCCUGCCACCCCUGGCUGUUUAUCGAAGAGGCUGCUGGACGGGAGGUGGAACGAGACUUCGACUCGGUGUACUCCCGCCUCGUGCUCUGUAAGACUUACAGGCUGGAUGAAGAUGGAAAAGUUCUAACUCCAGAGGAACUGCUUUACCGGGCAGUGCAGUCCGUGAACAUGACGCAUGACGCUGCGCACGCUCAGAUGGACGUGAAGCUUCGCUCCCUCAUCUGCAUUGGACUCAAUGAGCAGGUCCUGCACCUGUGGCUGGAGGUGCUGUGCUCGAGCCUGCAGACAGUGGAGAAAUGGUUCCAUCCCUGGUCCUUCCUGCGCAGUCCUGGAUGGGUGCAGAUCAAGUGUGAGCUCAGGGUCCUCUCCAGAUUUGCAUUCAGUCUCUCUCAGGACUGGGAACUUCCUAUUAAGAGAGAGGAGGAGGAGAAGAAACCGCUGAAGGAAGGAGUGCAGGACAUGCUGGUGAAGCACCAUCUCUUCAGCUGGGACAUAGAUGGCUGACCCCGCCGACUGCGGGCCUUCUAGACUGCCACACUCAACACACACUCUCCUCCCCCUGCCCCUCCCCCCUCCGACCCAUGGCUGCUCUCAGCCCAGCUGAAGCGACAGCCUCUCCAGCUCAGCUGGGCACUUUCCCCUAGGCACUGGGUGGCUGGAGGGCUGUGUGUGUGGUCUUGCAGGCAGAAAUCCUUCGCCUAGCCUGUGCAGCACACCCUGCACCAGCUGCCCAGCUCUCAGUCCCAUGUGUUCCCUUGUCCCCAACUGUAAGCCCUGCUCAGAGGGGGAGGCGGGGACUCUACCGGCCAGAUCUCUAGCUUCCUUUUUGGCCCACCCUGCUGCUCCUCUGGGAGAGGAUUUUAACCUGCCUCAUAGCCACUCUCCCUACUGUCCUAGGGAUAGUGAGCAGAUCUGUGUGUCUGUUCAACGUCUCCAAGUGCCGCUGGAGCCCAGAAUGUGAGGGCAGCAGGUGAAGAGACAGCCUCCCUCUUCAAUGGACCCUGCAGUUAUCAAGCACCCAGGGGGAGCUGAGGAAUGCACAGAACCAUUGGCUGACCUGAGCUUCCCUGACUCUUGUGCUUUAGAAGCCUCCCUCGGUGAAAGAUUUUUUUGUCUUGUUGCUCUAGCAGUGUAAGGGAUGGAUGGGGGUGCUGACAAGAUGUGCCUAAGGGAGCAGCCAGUUACCAACUAUAACUGCCUUUGGGGAUGGGGCUUUUUCUCAAGUGUGGAGGCAAGCCCCAGUUCUCCCUUAGCUGGCGGGAGUAUCAUACUGUUGUUUUAGCCUCUAACCGUGUUACUUUAAAUUAACCAAAAAGAUCUCUAGACAUAUCUGUAUAUUUUGGCAUCAUCUUAGCUCAGGAAGUGGGUUCAGGCCUGAGCUGGCUCAGGGAGACUAACUCAGCCCCUGCCCUGUGGGAAGAGGCUGAGGCCUGUAAGCUAGGAGUGGAGCAUCACUACUGCUGUAGGGUAGCUUUGCUCCAUGGCAUCUGUGACUUUAGCAAUGAAAGCACUUGUUUGUGAGCACAAACUACUCAUGAAAUAACACUAGAUUCUUACUUUCCUUUAGUCUUUGGGUUGUAAAUAAAGUGCAUCUUGGGAGAGCUUUGGUGGUUUUCUCCAGUAGGGUUGGGGAUGGUGGGUGAACCUUCCUUUGCUUUGCUGUUACAGGUCUCUGUGGGGUUUAAGAUGGAUGCCUGCUCUCUGAGCACCUGGAGGGAAAGAGGAAUCCUUUACAGGAGCAGAGAAUUGGUCUUUAUCUCACUCAGUGACUCUAAAAUCACCUCACCUCUUGUCCCUGUUUCCAGCUGAAAUGGGUCUUAAUCCUUAUGGCUUGGUUUGGAAUUUAGCUAAUAGAAGAAGGCUGCACUGUGCAGUGGGAUUUAGAGGCAACCAGAAUUGCAUCCCCACCCCUGCAGGGAAGGGUGCCCCUGUGUUGCAGAACAGAAUAUUCAAUUGUGGCAUUAGUGCCAAUUCUACAGUGCAACAGUAGGGCUAGGAAAGACUAGGUCAAGCCUGGCUUCCUGACUAAGGCAGCUGUCAGAGACAGCAGCACACUGCCCCAGUGAGAGCAUGGUGGGAUAGAAUAUUCAGGACACUUCUAAUGGUGACACAAGUCAACAACAGCGUUUUAAACUGUACAACUAAAAAUCACAUCCCGGACUUAUCAGUGUAAAAAGACACAGCAGGAAGAGCCAUUCUGCACUUUUUUGUCUUGUCAUGCAGUUAAAAAAAAAGGUUCUUCGCAAGGCAACCACGUGCCUCACUGUAGGGGAGGGGGGAAGAGCUGUCUCAAAACAGAGUUCAGGACUGAACACAGUUAAGAGGUAAGGUGCCCUUUAUACUUCCAUGACGGAAGCAAAGAAAACAGGAGAGCCUUGCUUGAUAGCUCUUUAGGAAUUGUGCUGUCCUAAACCCAACCGGUGGCAAACUUGAGAAGGCUGGAGACAAAUUGGAGCAGGUAUGGGUGAGCACAGGGCCUGCAGGCCUGUUUCUAUUCAAGUGCUACUCUAACAGGAAUGGCUCCAUUUGCAGGAUACCUGCUCUUUGGGGAAGUUCCAGUGGAGGAGGUGCAUGCACCAGAGACUGUAAACAGUGUUGCAGUGCCACACCUGGAGCUCGAGGUGAGGGCACACAGGGAGGUGUAGACCCACUGCUGCUCCAGUUCCUUCUCAACUAAGAAACCUGGCAGACUCUUUCCCUGAGGGGAAGAAGAGCAGGAGAUAAAACAUCCUGUGACACAAAACAUCUUGAAGAACUCUCAUUACUGUACAGCUAGGUAGCCUCUCUAUGACCGGAGGGGUGCUCCAGUGUAGGAGCUUCCCAAGGAGUAGGUCAACAUGGAGGUGGGUGGUGAAUUGAAGAGCUGUCACUAAUGUCAUGUCAGCUCUGGAUGCAGGUCUGAUGGUGUAAUGUUUGACAAAUGUGUGAAACAAGGAGCAGGUUGCAGCCCUGCAGCUUUCUGAGAUGGCAAUGGCUAUAGCAGUGGACUGAACCUUCACUUGCUGAGGGGUAUAUUUCACAGCAAAUCAAUCAAACCCUCUUGGACAGGCUUAGGAGAAAUCAGCUGACCUCUUAUCCUUUUUGCCAAGGAUACAAAUAGCCUUAAUGCUGGCAGGGUAAAUGGCAAGGGCCCUACUUACAGCUAAUGUUUGGAGACAAGCUUCCUCCCUCAAGGUGCGGGCUUAGCCAUUUGCUGGUAUUUUAUCUUAUCUAUCUGGGUUGGUGUGACAUUCCAACAAGUCUUUAGGGAGGAAUCAAGGAUUGGGGGGAUGCAGGGGGGGGCGCAGCAUGACCUUGUCACGCUAGCACAUAGUGGAUCUGCCAUGAACCCUGAGUUCUCGCAUUCUGAUGUCUAUCAGAAGUAAGUCUUGAGGAUGAAACAGCAGGGAGUUUGCAACUGCUGGUAAACCACUGUAGUAUCUCUGUGAGGGGAGAUGUACCAGUACCACAGUCAUGCUGCACAGUUUACAUAAUACAUACAUAGUUGUGCAGUUGUCCAGCAUUACUCUGCCAGAGGGACCCUUUCGGUCAUAAAGUGAGUGCUGACAUGGGUAGUGGCCUUUCCUUAGUUCCAGGAUGUUGAUUUGGAGUGAUGGCUCGUGUGAGGACCAUUUUCCCUGUGCUGUGGCACCUCACCCAAAAAAGGCAUCCAGUGUGAAGAUUUUUUUGAGGGUGGCAGACUGGGAUUGCCACACCAACCUUCAGAGGCUCUUUCCACCUAAGAGGCUAGUACUCAGGGAGCCAGAGGCAUACAUAAUCCUUAGCAAGGCCUGACCAAUGCAGCCUUGCAUCUGGCACAAUGAAUGUGGAGGCCGACGUGGCCUGGGAGUUGUAUGGUGGUAAGUCCUUGCAGUUGGUUGGGGGCUGUCUAAGUGGUCUCUGUGGCUUUCAGUGCCCUUGAGAUGGUCAUCUUGGUCUUAGAUGCAUCUGCUAGAGGUGUCAAAUAGUACCAAGCAAGGUACUUCUUGAGAAGGUGGUGGUAGACUAUGCCAGAGUCUCUGGCAGAAGAAAGUGGCUUUCUUCUUUCAGAGGCCUUCAGCAUGAACCUGCGUCUGGAGGGCACUGGUAUGGCCUGAGAGGUUGAGGCCGAUGUUAAGGGGAGUGUUCCUUGAGGAGGCGCUUCAGUCGUGCCUCUCUAUCCUUGUGAGACCCACCAUUAAGCCCCUGUGCAGACUUUACACUUGGAUGGGACAUGAGAUUUUCUGAGGCACCACAGACACCUAUAGGUGCUAUCACUAUAAGGAAAAGACCUGUGGCAGCUCUGUUAGGACUGGAACCUUGGGGUUUUAAGCAUAAUCUGGGUAAGUGCCAUAGACCACAAAGGCUGAAGGGGCAAGAAUCUCAGAGUGCUCCCCCCCCCCCCAGUUGUGCAGCAACUAAGAGGAAAAACCCAAAAUUAAUAGGCUAGGAAGCAGCUGUCAAUGCAGUUGCUCCAGCUUGAGCUGCAGCAGUUAAGUGGAGUGGUGAUGGGUCAUCUGGGAGUACAAGACCCUGCACUUCAAGAGCACUCACCCACCAACUCUGUUACAAUCGCUGGUCAAGAGUGCAGAGCCCCCAUAAGGGCACAUACUAAAUAACUGGAUCUCCAACUCCCAUCCAGAGGGCAGCACCCUUCCCUCUACAUUGGUAAAAUGUCUUCCCCUUGGUUCAGUCUUGGAGAAAUGGAGGUGGGUUAAAAUCUGUCCUGUCUGGGCAGAGAGAAACUUGCUGUUUGUGGGCACGUGGCUAGUCCUCCCUCUCUGUAUGGAAAUAUCCCAGCAGCGCCACUCAUCAUGUUUACCCACUUACCAAGAACAAAAUGCUACAGCAUUUGAAAGCAAGACAGAGCAUGCUGGGAAGGGGACACUGCUGUAGGUGCAAAGAACGCACCAGGAGAGUUAGGAUUCUUCCUCCUCACUGCCUGUGCCUCCAUGUCAAAGACAAAAGGUGAAAGGCUCUCAGUGCGAGGGCCAGGAUGUCCUUGUAUCACUGCCUACAAGACAGACCUUUUGAUCAUGUUUUUUCUUUAUUUUUUUAAUAAAAUGUUUCUUUCCAAGUA